rnacentral:lncRNA from 1 species
ACCUCUUUCAGCCCUAUUUGCAUCUCCACUUCUUUGACAUCAGAUAUCGAGAUUUUCUGCUCUUUAAGAGAGGAAAGUGUCGAGGAAAAGCAGAAAGGCGUAACAGUUAAAUCAUCCGCCACGUGAUAAGUUGGGGAUCCUUUUAGAUAACUUCCCUGCCCAUUGGGAAACUUAACCGAAGAUAACAAGUUCAGAUAAUCAUUGUACUCAGCAGGCAAGCAUUCUUCAGCGAGGGGGAAAAUGCAGUGUGCUGAAAUGUAGCCAUGAGGUAGAAUGGGUGUCAUUAGCCUCUUUUUUCGUAUCCGGGGUAAUGAAAUGCUUGCUAUCUGCAAGGUCGGAUGUGCUCCGGUACAAGUUGUCUAUAGCCUUAACACAAGUGUUACCGGCAAGAAGAUGCUCAACUCCAACCAAUGGGAUGUAGAGGAACUAAACAGAAACUCCACAAACUGUUUAUUUGCUUGAGCAUACGCAACCUUACCAGUAGAUUGUUGUAUCAUCACUUUCAAUCUUAAAUUCCUCGAGUUGUUUGGAUUCUCUUCCUCUGUAGUGUGUGGUUGAGUCACCAUGAAUUUAGAGUAAAUCAGCUGUGUUGUUUUAUUUAGGAUGAUGUCCGACAAUGGAGUUGGGGACGUCAAGGAAGCCUUCAACAAAUUCAUAAUCUAACAAUAACAUGAUAUACACAAAUUAAAUAAAUAACUAGUUAUAACAAAGAUUGAGAUUAGAGAAAACCAAAAAUUACCUCAGUGAAGCCCAAAUCCACCUUGAUUUGCUCGGCGUUAUCCAUGUCUGUAAUGCCAAGAUAGCUAAUGACGCCUAAGAGUCCUGUCUCACUUGGAAAUAUGUGGAGAUCAUCAGAUAUUAAGAAAGAUGAUGUAUUCAUGGUGAAAACUCCAUCUCUAGAUGCAGCAGCUUCAGAUCCUUUCUCAACUACUUCUAUUUUCAUAGCAUCAUUAUAUGAGCAAAAUUUGCACCUCUUGACAUGAUCAUAGAAGAUGCUUACGCUACGAAAUCUAAAAGACUGAGGGUGAUAGAAACAAUAGAAAUAUUCAGCAGGCUGAAAAUCAGUGAUGUCGAGUUUCAGCCUCCCGUAUUCAUCUUCCAAUGAACUUGUUGGAUCAAGCAGAGUCUGCUUAGCUCCAUCAGUCCAGACGUAGGAACUGUCGAGAUUUACUAAGCUACGGUAUAAACUGCUUAAGCUACCAAUGGAAGGCGCCUCGUCUCCAUAGUGCUUCUCGAGGACUUUCACAAUUCUUCCCAAUGGCAAACUCAAGAAGCUUAACAAAAUGUCUGCAAAAUGGCUGUCGGAGUCUGCAAAGAGUACCUUAGUUCUCUCUUUAUUGAUCAUCACUUUCAACGAAAAUGUAGCACCCUUUUUAUCAUCAGUCAUUCUUGAAUUUGAUACAGAAGUCGUCACUGCACUAAUUAGUUUAUAUGUGUAUUGAUCUAAUAGUAGAAUAUAAUUAAUGUUUGAGGUUAAAGGUAUCAAGAUUGCUAUUUGGACAUAAUAUGUUCAUAUAUAAAAUGGUCAAAUAUAUAAAAAUCGAUUAAUUUAAAAAUUUUGGCUCAAAAUAAAAAAGGAUUAAUUUAGUUAAUUAAAAAUAAAGACAGCUACAAUGUGAACAAAAUUUUAAAACUAGCUAAUUUUUUUUUAUUUUUUUAAAUCGAAAAUUUUAUAUUAAUUUUAUUUUGUAUAUAUUCAUUCAUGACCCAAAAAAACCCAUCUUUUCGUCAAAUUCUGUCAUUAUUCAAAACCAAAAUCUAGUUUCCUGAGAGUCCAAUUAAAUCCUUCAUAAAGACUAAAAGAAGCUCGAAUUAAACAUCUCUUACUCGGGUAAUUCUAUCUAUAUCAAAGCCUAUUUUUCAGAAAAAUUAAAAUUUAGUGUAUUUUAUUUCAAAUUUUAAAGAUUGCGAGCAAAAUCAAAAUCCGUCUAAAUUUUAUGUAUUUUGUGGCAAUUUACCCAUAAACAUAGUAGUAAUUAACUAAUUAAUAAACAAUUAAAAAUAGACACAGUGUGAACAAGAGAUGAAUAAGUCAAGAAUUACCUGAUUUCCAAAUUUAUAAAAAUUGGGGAUUUUCAAGAGAAAAAAGACAGAUUUUCAAGUCAACCCAGAAGAAAAUAUGUUGUUGGAUGAGGGUGGCUGAGCUCGCGGCGGAGGAAGAAGAGAGGAGUGGAUAGAUGAGUGAGAGAGAAGCACUGUCAUUAUUUGGCUACUAAAGCAAAAUGGAGCAAACAGUUGAGCUAUGCCAUUGGCGAAUCUUUGCUUUUUCACUUUUUUUUUAAACUUCUUUUUCUGUUUUUCAACUUUUUCUUUUCCAUGUUUUUGGUUUGUCGGUUUCACAAAAAGUACUAUUGCAUGACUUUAUUUGACGCAAUUGUAAUUUAAUACUCCGUGCGCCAAAAUUAGACUACUUUGGUUGAGCACGAAAUUUAAUAAAAUUGGUGAUGAUUUUGAUGUAGUGGAGAAAAUGUCCCACCACUUUAUUAGAUGUGUGGUUGAGAUUGAAUUUGGGCUAGUUUUUUUUGUAAAUAAAAAGUGUUUGUAAGGAUAAAAGAUUAAAGUAGGUAGUAGGACCAUUUCCAUAAAAGGAAAGUGGUAUGCUUUUUGCGGACGCUCAAUAUAAUAAAAAUGGUCUACUUUUGGCGGACGGAGGGAGCAUGUUUGAACAAAAAAGUAGUUAAAUACUUUAACAAAUAUAUUUAUUUAAAACUUUUGAUUAAAAAAAUAGUUAUUUUUAUUAUUUUCUCCAUAUUUUAUUUUAUAAUUUUUAAUAUUUUAUUUAAAAAUUGUUAUUUUUAAAGAGCAUAAAAAUUACAAAUAAAAAGUAAAAAUUAAAAUAGCACCUUAGAUUUCUCUCUAUUGAUCAUCACUUUCAACGAAAACGUAGCAUUCUUGUUCUUGUUUUUCUCAGACAUUUUGGUGGAGGCGAAGAUUUUUCUACAAUUCUAUUUUCUUAUUUGUGAAACAUCAACCUUUCAAGUUCAACCAUAUUAAUAUUCCAUUUUCAGGUGUCUUGAAAUUCGGAAUUUGUUGCUGGUUAAUCAAUUUUAAUUAGGAGUGAAUGCAGAAGGUGUGGCUUUUAGUGGGACUAGUGACUCUUGGUUAACUCCUUCCUCAUAAACAAGGGAGUGAAUGUAGAAAAAAAUCGAAUUAGUAUCUUCAUCUGUUAUUUAGAUCUAAAUCCAAACACAGCCAAAUAUAAAACCUAGUAUUAAAAAAGUGACUUGUUUUACAAAAUUUGAUUUGCCUAUUAUAUCCCUCAUAUAUACUUAGAUUAAGGUUAAUUGUGUAAUUUAAUAUAUUAUACUUAUAAUAUAUCUAUAAAUAUAUUAUGGUUUAUCUUUUAUAUUUUAAUAGCUAUUUAAGUAGUAGUAUCCAUUAGGACUCUUCAUCAUAUAAGUUAUUAUUUUUUUAUUACAUAAUUAUAAUAAUUUAGAAUUAAAAUACAAAGGAUUACUUAAGUAAUAGUAUCCAUUAGAAUUAGUAAAUCGAAAGAUUUCAGCGAGUCCUCUCUUUUAUGGGGGAAGAAGUUAACCGAAGAGUCGUUAAUUAGUCCUCCAAAUUCCAAGACACUCUACAAAUUACAAGAAUCAUUAGAGAAAUUAACCAAGCGCCGCUAGUCCCACCAAAUUCCAAGACAUAAACUUGUUAAAUAGGUUUGAUUUAUUUAAUUUAUUUUUUAAAAUAAAAAUAAUUAUUAUUUUUCCUUAUAUUGUUUAUAUUUUAUUUAUUUUUUGUAAUUUUUUAUUUUUUUAGAAAUAAAAUAGAAAAGUGCAAAAAAAAAGGUACAAUUAAUAUAGACAAUACAAUAAAUUAGUUAAAAGCUAUUUUUAAUUUUAAAAAUAAACUAAAUAAAUCAAAAAAAUUAUCCUAUUGAACUAAUUUGUGAGUGGUCCUGAUGUGAUUGCAUAUAUUUAUUGUUUGGUUGAUUUCCCGGUUUUAUUUACGAUUAAAAAAGUGAAGUAGAAGUAUCUCUUCCAACUAAAUUACCGAUUUUGUGUGUAGGUGGAAUACAAUUUAAAUUUGAAUAAGUUUCAUUUUAAACGUAGGUUAUAGAAAUUUGAUGCAUGCAUGUGAUUUUCUUUAUAGGUGUAUUGAGUGAUGUCACACAAUUCUUUAUUCUUUUGAAUUAUUGAAUGAAUUAUAUGUGACAACAAUUUCAUAAAUAUUAGGAGAUCAAAUGAAUUCUUGCUGCUUAAUUCCAAGUUAGCUGCGGACGUUUAAUUUUGUAUCUCAUAAAGAGAGUGAAUGCAGAGAGUCUCGGAAUUUGGUAGGACUAAUGACUCUUAGGUUAAAGUUGUCGUUGAAAGUGAUGAUAAAUAUAGAGAGAAAUGAGGUACACAAUAUAUAUUUCGAAUUUUUACUCAUCCUACUCCAAUAACAUUUAUGAUAAUUCUUAUUUCAACAAACAAAUAAUAGUUACUCCAUCUCAUAUAUUGUGCAACUUAAAUUUUUUUAUACUCAUAUAGUAUUAAAUAAUUAAUUAAAUUUUAAAUAUAAACCAGUUAGGUGAUAAAAUGCAUCUCAUCUAGCUGCUUAAUUCGAAGCUAGCUACUGCAUGGAGUUUAAUUUGAUUUAGUAUCACAUAAAGAGAGCGAAUGCAGACAGAGACGGAUCUAAAGGCCGGGCAGCCUCGGCGGUCGCCCGGUCAUUUUUUUAUUACCUAUAUAUAUAUAUAUAUAUAUAUAUAUAUAUAUAUUAUUAUUUANNNNNNNNNNNNNNNNNNNNNNNNNNNNNNNNNNNNNNNNNNNNNNNNNNNNNNNNNNNNNNNNNNNNNNNNNNNNNNNNNNNNNNNNNNNNNNNNNNNNNNNNNNNNNNNNNNNNNNNNNNNNNNNNNNNNNNNNNNNNNNNNNNNNNNNNNNNNNNNNNNNNNNNNCACUUUAUAAAUAGCUUUCAACUUCUUUAUUUUUCCAAUGUGGGAUGACACUCCACAUUUCCAUCUUCAAUGGCUAUCUUUGGGCAUUAAUUACUCAUUCAAUUCUUAAUAGAUUUGAACAAGUAAAUAUACCAAAUUAAUCUACUCAAAAUGUAGAUUCCAAAUAUACCAUUUAAUUCCAUUAAUUACAAAGUAAUUAUGGACUAAUAAAAGCCAUUUAUUCCAACAAUAUAUAACAACUAAGAUUUCAAAUGAUACAGGUUACCUCUUUCAGCCCGAUUUGCAUCUCCACUUCUUUGACAUCAGAUAUCGAGAUUUUCUGCUGUUUAAGAGAGGAAAGUGUCGAGGCAAAGAAGAAAGGCGUAACAGUUAAAUCAUCGGCCACGUGAUAAGCUGGCGAUCCUUUAAGAUAACUUCCCCGCCCAUUGGGAAACUUGACAGAAGAAAACAUCGAUAUAUUAUCAUAGUCAGCAGGCAAGGAUUCUUCAGUGAGGGGGAAAAUGUAGUCUUUCGAAAUGUAGCCAUGAGGUAGAAUGGGAGUCAUUAGUCUCUUUUUCGUAUCCGGGGUAAUGAAAUGCUUGCUAUCUGCAAGGUCGGAUGUGUUCCGGUACAAGUUGUCUAUAGCCUUAACACAAGUGCUACCGGCAAGAAGAUGCUCAACUCCUACCAAUGGGAUGUAGAGGAAACUAAACAGAAACUCUACAAACUGUUUAUUAGCUUGAGCAUACGCAACCUUACCAGUAGAUUGUUGUAUCAUCACUUUCAAACUUAAAUUCGUAGAGUUAUUUGGAUUCUCUUCCUCUGUAGUGUGUGGUUGAGACACCAUGAGUGUAGAGUAAAUCAGCUGUGUUGUUUUAUUUAGGAUGAUGUCCGACAAUGGAGUUGGGGACGUCAAGGAUGCCUUCAACAAAUUCAUAAUCUAACUAACAUGAUAUACACAAAUUAAAUAAAUAACUAGUUAUAACAAAGAUUGAGAUUAGAGAAAACCAAAAAUUACCUCAGUGAAGCCCAAAUCCACCUUGAUUUGCUCGGCGUUAUCCAUGUCUGUAAUGCCAAGAUAGCUAAUGACGCCUAAGAGUCCUGUCUCACUUGGAAAUAUGUGGAGAUCAUCAGAGAUUAAGAAAGAUGAUGUAUUCAUGGUGAAAACUCCAUCUCUAGAUGCAGCAGCUUCAGAUCCUUUCUUAACUACUUCUAUUUUCAUAGCAUCAUUAUAUGAAGCAAAAUUUGCACCUCUUAACAUGAUCAUAGUAGAUGCUUACGCUACGAAAUCUAUAAGACUGAGAGUGAUAGUAGGAUAUUUACAAUAGAAAUAUUCAGCAGGCUGAAAAUCAGUGAUGUCGAGUUUCAGCCUCCCGUAUUCAUCUUCGAAUGAACUUGUUGGAUCAAGCAGAGUCUGCUUAGCUCCAUCAGUCCAGAAAUAGGCACUGUCGAGAUUUGCUAAGCUACGGUACAAACUGCUUAAGCUACCAACGGAAGGCGGCUCGUCUCCAUAGUGGUGGUCGAGGAUUUUGACAAUUCUUCCCAACGGCAAAGUCAAGAAGCUUAACAAAAUGUCUGCGAAGUGGCUGUCGGAGUCUGCAAAGAGUACCUUAGUUCUCUCUUUAUUGAUCAUCACUUUCAACGAAAAUGUAGCACCCUUUUUAUCAUCAGCCAUUCUUGAAAUAUAUAUGUGGUACAAACAAAGAAAUAUUUGAACAAUGUAAUCGGAAGAUUUCAGCAAACCCUCCAUUUUUAUGGGGGAAGAAGUUAACCUAAGAGUCGUUAGUUUAGUGCCUCCAAAUUCCAAGAAUCGUUAGAAAAAUUAACCAAGCGCCACUAGUCCCACCAAAUUCCAAGACCCAUCGGAUUGUAUUUGAUUAACUUCCCAAUUUUAAAAAAUAAAAAAAAAAAAUAAAAAAAAUCGAUCUAUUUUAGAUUGGAAAAGUGAAGUAGAAGUACCUCUUCCAACUAAUUAAAUUACCGAUUUAGUGUCAAUAUAGACCACAAUUUAAAUUUAAAUAAGUUUCAUUUUAGAUAUAGGUUUACAAAUUUGAUGCAUGCAUGUGAUAACAAUUUCAUAAUUUUUUUUUUGAAACAAUUUCAUAAAUAUUAGGAGAUCAAAUGCAUCCCAUAUGUAGCUGCUCAAUUCCAAGUUAGCUACUGACGUUUAAUUUGAUUUUGUAUCUCAUAAAGAGAGUGAAUGCAAGGAGUCUUGGAAUUUGGUGGGACUAAUGACUCUUAGGUUAACUUCUUCCCCAUAAAAAGGGAGGGUUUGGUGAAAACUAUCGAUUACAUUAUUAUCUCAAGAAUGUCUGAUGUUGAGAAGGAUGUCAAGUUGUCGUUGAAAGUGAUGAUAAACAAAGAGAGAAAUGAGGUACUCUUUGCAGAAGCCGACAACCAUUUCACAGACAUUUUGUUAAGCUUCUUGAGUUUGCCGUUGGGAAGAAUUUUCAAAGUCUUCAAGAAGCACUAUGGUGAUGAGCUUCCUACCAUUGGAAGCUUAAGCAGUUUGUACCAUAGCUUAACAAAUCUUGAUAGCGCCCAUUUUGUGACGGAGGGUGCUAAGCAGACUCUGCUCAGUCCAACCAGUUUAUUUGAAGAUGAAUACAAAAGGCUGAAACUCGAUAUCACUGAUUCUCCGCCUGCUGAAUAUUUCUAUUGUUCAUCCUGUUACCCUCAUGAUAGAUUUCAUAUUAUAAGCAUGUACUAUGACUCUGUUGAGCGUUGCAAAUGUUACCGUAGUAUGAUGAAAGAAGUAGCUAAAAAAGGGUCUGAAGCAGCUAGUGAUGGAGUGUUUACUAUACGUAAAGCAUCUUUCACAAUCUCUGAUGAUCUUCAAAUAUUUCCAAAUGAGAUUGGACUCCUACCAAUCACCACCCUUCUUGGCAUUACAGAUGCCCAUAAGGCUGAGGAAAUCAAAGUGGAUCUUGGCUUCAAUGAGGUGAUUUCUUGAAUAUUCUCUAAUUAAUCUCAAUCUUUGUUAUAACUAGUUAUUUAUAUUUUGUCAUUUUUGUGUUUAUAUGGUUGUUAGAUUAUGAAUUUGUUGAAGGCUUCCUUGACGUCCCCAACUCCAUUGUCGGACGUAAUCCUGAAUAAAACAACAACACAGAUGAACUCUGCAAAGAUUCCGUUGCAUGAGAUUGUAGAGAAAAAAAACCCCAAUUCUAGGAAUUUAAGUUUGAAAGUCACCAUACAAAAAUCUACAGGUAAGUUUCUGUAUGCUCAAGCUAAGGCAGAUUUUAUGGAGUUUCUAUUUGGUUUCUUCAACAUCCCACUAGGAGGAGUUGGGCAUCUUCUUGCUGGCAAGACUGGUUUCAAGGCUAUAAACAACUUGUAUCGGAGCACAACUGACCUUAUAAACGACAAGUAUUUCAAGACCUCGGAUAUGAAAAGAAGGCUAAUGAAACCCAACUUGUUUCAUGGUUGCACUUCCAAAAACAACAUUCUUGCUCUUGUCGAAGAACCCUUGCCUGAUGACUUCGAUAAAGCUGAAUUUUCUUCAGUCAAGUUUCCCAAAGGGAAGGGUAGGUAUCUUGAAGGAGCAGCAACUUAUAAGGUGACAGAUGACUUAACUGUGACCCCUUUUUGCACUGUCUCCAUUCUUUCUACUCUGAAUAGCUUGAAAAUCCCAAUAAAUGACGUCGAAGAAAGGGAUCUGCAAAUCGGAUUGAAAGAGAUAAUCAUUGAAUCUUUUUAUAAAUGAUUUUUUUUAGCAUAUUUUGAGAUGAAGUUUGUUGGUGCAGGGCUUGAGCAUACUGAAAGCUUCUCUUACAUCCACUUCUGCUCUCACAGAUUCUCUCCUCAGUCAUAAAUCGAGCAAGAAACGGAAGAAAGAACUCGCAGGCUGAUCCUUGGUUGCAACUAUUACAAAUAUUAGCAACUCUAUAUAUGGUGCUUAUAUUUGCUUUUGCUUUUUAUUGUGAUCCUAAUAUUUUCAAGGACCUAUUUUUCAUAUGCAAGUUACUGUUUUUGUUUCUGUGUUGUCCUUAUAUGAGAGAAAGCAUACUCUUGAAAUUACUUCUAAUUUAUUGACAAUAUUGCCUCGCUCACAUGAUCAGACGAAUCCACCCUAAAAAAUAACUACUGAAACUUGAAAAAAUUUACACUAAACUUGCAAAUAAUAAAAAGAUUUUCUUUUUCAUUUCUUGGAAUCGUGCAACAGGCUGAUAUCGAGGAUGAGAUCUAGUGUACCAUAAACGAUGUCUCAUUCCAUGUCUCACUAUUAAAAUGACGUAGUUUUAAUUAUAACUCUAAUAUGUACAUAAUUGAUAUCAUCAUUCUAAAGUAAAGGAAGGAAUUACACAAAAAAUCAUAUGGUUCUUUUGCUUCCCAAUUUGUUCUUCUACUCAAAUCCAAAUCAUUCUGCCGGUAAGGCUUGUGUUAAGGCUAUAGACAACAUGUAUUAGAACACAUGUGAAUAUAUGGAUAACGUAUCUCAUAACCUCGGAUACGAAGAAGAGGAUAAUAAAACCUAAUGUGGUUCAUGGCUGUAUAGAGAGAAACACUUACAUCCCCUUCUGUUCUCACCGAUGAUCUCCUAACUCGCACAUCGAAUAAACAAAUAAUUGGAGAAGUAUGAGUUUGAUCCACACAACAAUUUUGCUGCAUAAUUAUAUAACUAAUAUUGUUUGCUUAUGUUAAUAGCUAUGGUUCUUAAAUUAAACAAUCUUCAUAGUGUAUUAUGAGAGUUAUGCAUCUAUUGAUCUCUUUGAUGAUGCAUUGUUUAAAUCAUUUAAAAAUUCAAUAAAAUACAUUAUUUCAAAUGUUUACUCAUCCUAACCCAAUAACAUGUACGAUAAUUCUUAUUUCAACAAACGAACAAUAGGUACUCCAACUCAUAAAUUCUAAUUAGCAAAAUAUUACUUAUAGAUUUUCGUUUUUGUGACUUCCUAUCAUAUCUGGGCUCGGAUCACAAAGAAGGAUGACAAUGGGCUCAUAUCUACAUUUGGUCUAGAUCCAUUAACUUUGAAAAAAAAAUUAAAUAUAGGUCAAAAUUCAUAAAAUCCACAACUAAUUUAUGUAAUUCGAUUAAUUUAUUUAAAUUGGUUAUUGCAAUUGAAGUUAGCAAAAAUAAAUAAAGGAUAAAUCCUUUCGGAUCAAAUUGAUCCGAAUCAAUGAUAAUAAUAUUGUCAAAAUAUUUAAAUUGAAAAUGUAUCUUACCUUAAAUGCCCUUAAUAAAAAUUUAGAAUUCAAAAUAUUAAAUUUAUUAUUCAUAUACAUAAAUUCAAAUGUUUUUCCAUUUUUCUAGGCCAUUAAUUGAAUUCGUAAAUAUAAAAAUUGUACGUUAGUCUCCUUAAAUUUAUGAACUUAAUUAAAUGAAUUUAUGAUUAUAACAAUUUCGGUUAGUCUAUCAAUAAAAUUAUGAAUCUUCUUCCAAGUCUCCUGAGCUUUAUGCAAAGUAUCACGAUUGCAUCGAACGAAAAUUUAAACGAAUAAUCAACUAAAAAUUAAUUAAAAUGGCGAAUCUUCUUCCAAGUUAGACUCUGGUGGGACGACGUUUGGUUAGUUUCUCUAUCUCGUAAAAAGGUAGUGAUAUCAAUGCGUAGAAUCUUGGAAUUUGGUUGGACUAAUGACUCUUUGGUGGGUUAAUUUCUUGCCUUAAAAAAAAGCGAGGGUUUGCAGACAAAUCUUGAUAGCAAUCUAAGUUUUCAUCUCCAUUACCACAAAUAUUACUAAUUUUCUACACAUUUUAGCAGAAUGUCUGAUGCUAAUAAAGAUGUCAAGUUGUCGUUGAAAGUGAUGAUGAAUAAAGAUAAAACUAAGGUUCUCUUUGCAGAAGCCGACGGCCAUUUUAUAGACAUUUUGUUAAGCUUCUUGACUUUGCCGUUGGGAAGAAUUAUCGAAAUCUUCCACAACCAGUAUGGAGAAAAGGCACCCACCAUUGGAAGCUUAAGCAGUUUGUAUCGUAGCUUAGAAAAUCUCGAUGACGCCCACUUUGUGACGGAGGCUGCUCAGCGGGCUCUGCUCUAUCCAAUCAGUUCAUUUGAAGAUGCAUACAAAAGGCUGAAACUGGACAUCACUGAUUCUCUGCCUGAGAAGUAUUUCUGCUGUUUCUUAGCCUCUCAUGGUAGAUUUCCUAGUUUAAGCAUCUACUAUGAUAAUCUCACUUGCAGAAUCUGUGGCAAUAUGAUGAGAAAAGAAGCAGCUAAAAACCUAUCUAGAGCUUCUUCGAGUGAUGGAGUGUUCACGAAAAGUAAAGCAUCUUUCACAAUCUCCGGUGAUCUGCAAAUAUUUCCAAAUGAAAUUGGGCUCCUACCAUUCAUCACCCUUCUUGGCAUUACAGACGCGCAUGAGGCGGAGGAAAUCCAAGUGUCGUUUGGGUUCGAUGAGGUGAUUCUUGUUUCUUUAAUCUCAAUUUUCCACCUUUUUUUUGGGAUUAAUUGGUUAUAAUCCAGAAAGGGGUUAGUGCCUAGAUUAGAAUCGUAAUUUUAGGAAAAUUUCGAAAAUAAUCCAAGUUGAUCAUGGCUUUGUUAGUUUGUUUACUAAUCUAUACCUAUAAAAUUUGAUUCGUCUAUAAUAUCUGUCAUAUAUAUUUAUUUUAAGGUUAAUUGUGUAUUUUAAUAUUUUUUAUAUAUAAUAAAUCUAAAAAAAUAAGUUAUGAUUUAUAUUUUAAUUAGUAUUUAAGUGGUAGUACCUAUUAGGACUCUUCAUCCACAUAAAUUACUGUUCUUUAUUCUCUAAAGUUAGUAAUUUAGAAUCACAGUAUUACUUAAUACUAGUUUUAUUAGAAGAAUUCUUGGAUUAAAAUUAAUUAUAUAAAGAUGAAACCUAGAAAACAAACAUGAAUUUUAUAUACUUUUAUUUUUGGUUAUGUUUUUUUCUGUGGACGUCCAAAAUUAGUUGGUACUUAAUAAAUUAAAAUUAAAUUUCAUACAAAAUUUAGAUAUUACAUAACUUUUAAAAAAUUAUUGUCAUAAAAGUUACUCCCUCUUUCCACGAAAGAAUUUCCUAUCUUUCCUUGUUGGGAUGUCCACAAAAGAACUUCCUAUUUAUUUUUGGACUAUACCCCACCACUUAUGAUCUUCUUACUUUUCAAUUUUCACAACUCUCAAUAUUAAUUAUAACACUUUUUCACCACUUCUAGUACACUCAACUACCUUUUAUCCACUCUCAAUACACUCAACAAUAUUUUUUCUUAAAAUUCAUGUCACUUCCUCCUAGAAAGUUCUUUUAUGGACGGAGGGAGUGCUAUAUAGUAUUAAAGUAAUUCAUUUUUACGGGCAAACACAAUCAUUUCUGCUAGUAAUCUAUAUAAAUUUGUAGCCGAUUAACCCUUUUUUUUUUAAUGAGAUGUUAGAUUAUGGACUUGUUGAAGGCAUCAUUGACGUCGCCAACUCCAUUGUCGGACCUCAUCCUACGUAAAAAAACAAAGAGUUCAACUGCAGCUAUUUCAAUGCAUGAAAUUGUGAACGAGAUAAACCCCAAGUGUAGGAAUUUAAGUUUGAAAUUGAUGAUACGAAAAUCCACCGGUGAGCUUUUGUACGCUCAAGCUCAGGAAGAUUUCGUAGAGUUUCUAUUUGGUUUGCUCACCAUUCCACUAGGAGGAUUGGAGCAUCUUCAAGCCGGCAAGUCUUGUUUUACGGCGAUAAACAACUUGUAUCGGAGCACGGCUGAACUAGACGACAAGUAUUUCAAGACCUCGGAGACGAAGAAGAGGCUUAUGAAUCCCCAUUUGCCUCAUGGUUGCAUCUCCCCAAACCAGAUUCUUCCCCUCACUGAAGAAUGCUUGCCUGCUGAGUACAUUGAUAAUCUCUCGCUCUUUUCUUCGGUUGCGUUUCCUGAAGGCCAGGGAAGAUAUCUCGAGCGACCAACAACUUAUUUGGUGAGCGAUAAUUUGACUGUGACUCCUUACUUUACUGUUUCUGCUCUUUGCCGUAUGAAUAAGGAGAAGAUUCCGAUAUCUGAUGUUGAAGAAAUGCAGCUGCAAAUUGGAUUGAAAGAGGUAAAUACAACUUUGAUAGCUUUUAAUUGUAUAUAUGUUUAGAUGUUGAGAGCAAAUUUGUUGAUGGGUGCAGGCUUUGAGCAUACUGAAAGCUUCUCUUACAUCCACCACAGCUCUCUCCGAUGCUCUGCUCAAUACUUACCCGUCGCACAAACGACAAAAGAAAUAAUUUUGAUUGCAUCGUUUGAAUGUCCCUUGAUGGAAAAUAAUAAUGAGCUUAUGAAAGCUAGUAUUGUAGACAUAAUUUAUGAGUUUUCAAAGAAGUAUUCUCUUGUGCCAGUUAAUUAAGAUCUUCGAGUCUAAAAUAGACGUCUUAAUUUUGUUAUUUGUUCAUUCAUUAAAAACUCUGAUUUUGCUAAUAUCACUGUGGAUCUAGUUUCCACCAAUUUAUAUUUUAUUCAUAUUUAAUAUAAAUUAAUUUCAAAGCUAUUUCUAAUUAAUAUAAAAAAAAUUUAUUAUUUUAUAAAUAUUGUAUAACAAAAUUAACAAAAUUAGUAAUUAUUUUAGUUUUUACUUUUUAUUUGUAAUUUUUAUGCUUUAAAAAUAAUAAUUUUUAAAAAAAUUAUAAAAAUUACAAAAAUAAUAAUUAGCAACUAUGGUGCUUAUGUUUGCUUUUGUUUUUUCAUAUGAUCCUAGAUAUUCCAGUCACUUAGACCUUUUCUUCAUAUGCAAAUUAUUUGUUUUUUGUUUCUGUAGAAAGCAUAAUCUUGAAAGUUAUACAACUAAAAUCGAACUGUCAAAUGGAAUUACUCCAAUUUAAAAUGUCGAAAUAUUCAUUGACAAUAUAUACUACCUCGCUAACAAAAUCAGAGCAAUCCACAACUAAAAAUAACUACUGAAACUUGAAAUAGUUUACACUAAACUUGCGACGAAUGGAAAAAAAAUAAGAUUUCCUUUUUCAUUUGUUGGAAUCCCACACCAUGUCCAACUAUCAAAACCAUCUGACAUUUAAACAAAAUCAUGUUUAUAUUCCAAAAAUUAUUAUUUCUCACACCCGAAAGAUGACGGGUGAUAUCUGAUGUAGCCUAAAUAUUUGAAAGCUAUAGUGAAUAAAGAGAUGCAACGUGCUACGAUUGUGAGAAUCUUGAAGAAGCACUAUUUGAAUCUCUGAAUAUCUAGUUGUAGUGAUUUCUGGUUAUAUCAUUUUUUGCAUUUUCGUUUUAUGUUUUGUGGUAUAUGCAUAUUAAGAGCAUCCCUUACAUCUGAUUAUGAUUCUGCUUGGCAUUAUCAUAAAAUCUGAGGCACAAAAAAUCUCUCUUUUGUAAGAAGUCAUUAAUUAUUUCAAGUUCCACGGCCGUGAGUUCAAUUUUCAUUUGAUUGGAUAUUUAGUCUGGUUCUUGUAUUGUGAGCAUUCAGUAUGAAAUAGUGAUUAAAUUAUGAAAUUACAUUGUGAAACGAACAAUUUGAACAUACAAAAAGUGAAAUAGUUUUAAAAUGAUGAAUGGAAAAACAAGAACCAUAGUUAAAACAACAUAAAAGCACAAUGCAAAGCUAUGAAUUUAAGCCAACAAUGUCACAUUUAUGAGCAGCAAAACAAGAUCUAAAAGCAUGGAUCACACUCAGACUUCUCUCUUUGGUUGUUUGAUUGAUAUGUGACUCAAUAGAGCAUCAGAAAGAGCAGAAGUGGAUGUAAGAGAGGCUUUCAGUAUGCCCAAAGCCUGCACAAAAGAAGACAAAAUCAACAUGUAAACAUAUGCUCAAUCAUGCACAAAUAAACUCGAAGCAAACGAGAUAGUAUUUGCAUAUAGAAAAAAGAUUCAAACGAAUGGAAAAUCAAGAUACAUAACUUAAAAUAACAAUGAAGCACACAAUAACUAUUAAUAUAACAUAUAAGCCAAUAUUUGCAACAUAAAUAGGAAGAAUGGAUAUCACACUUCUCUCUUUGGCUGUUUGAUUGAUUUGCCACUCAGAAGAGCAUCAGUGAGAGCAGUAGUAGAAGCAAGAGAGGCUUUCAGUAUGCUGCAAGCCUGCACCAACACAUUUUAUCUCAACAUCUAAACAUAACUAAAUAUAACAACCAAGAUUUUAAAUGAAAGUUUACCUCUUUCAGCCCUAUUUGCAUCUCCACUUCUUUGACAUCAGAUAUCGAGAUUUUCUGCUGUUUAAGAGAUGAAAGUGAUGAGGCGAUGCAAAAAGGUGUAACGGUUAAAUCAUCAGCCACGUGAUAAGUUGGAGAUCCUUUAUGAUAACUUCCCUUCCCAUUGGGAAACUUAACAGAAGAAAAAUGGCUUCUAUCAUUGUAGUCAGCAGGCAAUCUUUCUUCAAUGAGAGGGAAAAUGUGGUCUUUCGAAAUAUAGCCAUGAGGUAGAAUGGGAGUCAUUAGCCUCUUUUUCGUAUCCGGGGUAAUGAAAUGCUUGCUAUCUAUAAGGUUGGAUGUGUUCCCGUACAAGUUGUCUAUAGCCUUAACACAGGUGUUACCGGCAAGAAGAUGCUCAACUCCUCCCAGUGGGAUGUAGAGGAAACUAAACAGAAACUCUACAAACUGUUUCUUAGCUUGAGCAUACAAAAACUUACCAGUAGAUUGUUGUAUCAUCACUUUCAAACUUAAAUUCCUAGAGUUAUUGGGAUUCUCUUCCUUUCGCAGUGUGUGGUUGAGACACCAUGAUGUAGAGUAAAUCUGAGUUGUUUUACUUAGGAUGAUGUCCGAUAAUGGAGUUGGGGACGUCAAGGAUGCCUUCAACAAAUUCAUAAUCUAACAGAAAUAGGGAUAACAAUUAAGGUAAAUUAAAGAAAAAUGAGUGGGAGGAAGAUUGAGAUUAUGGAAACAAGAAUCACCUCAUUGAAGCCCAAAUCCACCUUGAUUUGCUCGGCAUUAUCCAUGUCUGUAAUGCCAAGAAAGCUAAUGAUACCUAAGAGUCCUGUCUCAUUUGGAAAUAUGUGGAGAUCAUCAGAGAUUAUGAAAGAUGAUGUAUUCAUGGUGAAAACUCCAUCUCUAGAUGCAGCAGCUUCAGAUCCUUUCUUAACUACUUCUAUUUUCAUAGAACCAUCAUUUGAGCAAAAUUUGCACCUCUUGAUGUGAUCAUAGUAGAUGCUUACGCUACGAAACCGAGAGUGACUUAUGGGAUAAAUACUACAAUAUAAAUAUUUAGCAGGCUGAAAAUCAGUGAUGUCUAGUUUGAGCCUUUCGUAUUCAGCUUCGGAUGAACUUGUUGGAUCGAGCAGAGUCUGCUUAUUAGCCCCAUCUGUCCAGAAAUGGGCACUGUCGAGAUCAACUACGCUACGGUACAAACUGCUUAAGCUUCCAAUGGUAGGCGCCUCGUCUCCAUAGUGCUUCUCAAGGACUUUCACAAUUCUUCCCAACGGCAAACUCAAGAAGCUUAACAAAAUAUCUGCAAAAUGGCUGUCAGCUUCUGCGAAGAAUACCUUAGUUCUCUCUUUAUUGAUCAUCACUUUCAACGGAAAUGUAGCACCCUUUUUGUCAUCAGACAUUCUUGACAAUAUAAAUGUGGAACAAACAAAGGAAUUUUAGGAUAAUGUAAACGAAAGUAAAUCGAAAGAUUUCAGCAAGUCCUCUCUUUUGUGGGGGAAGAAGUUAACCGAAGAGUCGUUAAUUAGUCCAUCCAAAUUCCAAGACACUCUACAAAUUACAAGAAUCAUUAGAGAAAUUAACCAAGCGCCGCUAGUCCCACCAAAUUCCAAGACAUAAACUUGUUAAAUAGGUUUGAUUUAUUUAAUUUAUUUUUUAAAAUAAAAAUAAUUAUUAUUUUCCUUAUAUUGUUUUCAUUUUAUUUAUUUUUUUAGAAAUAAAAUAGAAAAGUGCAAAAAAUAGGUACAAUUAAUAUAGACAAUACAAUAAAUUAAUAAAAAGCUAUUUUUAAUUUUAAAAAUAAACAAAAUAAAUAAAUAAAAUUCCUAUUGAACUAAUUUGUGAGUGGUCCUAAUGUGAUUGCAUAUAUUUAUUGUUUGGUUAAUUUCCCGGUUUUAUUUACGAUUAAAAAAGUGAAGUAGAAGAAGUAUCUCUUCCAACUAAAUUACCGAUAUUGUGUGUAGGUGGAACACAAUUUAAAUUUGAAUAAGUUUCAUUUUAAAUGUAGGUUUACAAAUUUGAUGCAUGCAUGUGAUUUUCUUUAUAGGUGUAUUGAGUGAUGUCACACUAAUCUUUAUUCUUUUGAAUUUUUGAAUGAAUUAUAUAUAUAUAUGUGACAACAAUUUCAUAAAUAUUAGGAAUCAAAUGCAUCCCAUCUUGCUGCUUAAUUCCAAUUAGCUACUGACGUUUAAUUUGAUUUUGUAUCUCAUAAAGAGAGUGAAUGAGAGAGUCUUGGAAUUUGGUAGGACUAAUGAAUCUUAGGUUAACUCUUCGCCAUAAUUAAAAAGGGAGGGUAUGGUGUUAAGAAGGAUGUCAUGUCGUUGAAAGUGAUGAUAAAUAAUCAUAGUUAUGCUCUAUUGAUCUCUUUGAUGUUGCAUUGUUUAAAUCAUUUGAAGAUUCAAUAAAAGGUCUAUGACAUAAGCAUAAAUGCAAAAAAGUACAUAACAUUUCAAGAAAUUCAUGUUUAUAUUCCAAAAAUUAUUUCUGACAACCAAGAUAGUAUUUGCAUAUUGAAAAAAGACCAAACGAAUGGAAAAUCAAGAUCCAUAAUUAAAAUAAAAAUGAAGCACCAUAACUAUUAAUAUGGAGUAACAUAUAAUUAAGCCAAUACUUGCAACAUAUAUAUAGGAAGCAUGGAUCACACUUCUCUCUUUGGUCUGUUUGAGUGAUUUGCGAAUCAUCAGAGCAUCAGUGAGAGCAGUAGUAGAUGUAAGAGAGGCUUUCAGUAUGCUGCAAGCCUGCACCAACAAAAUUUAUUUCAGCAUCUAAACAUACAUUCAGAAAUAUAACAACCAAGAUUUCAAAUAUACAGUUUAAUCACCUCUUCAGCCCUAUUUGCAUCUCCACUUCUUUGACAUCAGAUAUCGAGAUUUUCUGCUCUUUAAGAGAGGAAAGUGUCGAGGAAAAGCAGAAAGGCGUAACAGUUAAAUCAUCCGCCACGUGAUAAGUUGGGGAUCCUUUUAGAUAACUUCCCUGCCCAUUGGGAAACUUAACCGAAGAUAACAAGUUCAGAUAAUCAUUGUACUCAGCAGGCAAGCAUUCUUCAGCGAGGGGGAAAAUGCAGUGUGCUGAAAUGUAGCCUGAGGUAGAAUGGGUGUCAUUAGCCUCUUUUUCGUAUCCGGGGUAAUGAAAUGCUUGCUAUCUAAGUCGGAUGUGUCGGUACAAGUUGUCUAUAGCCUUAACACAAGUGUUACCGGCAAGAAGAUGCUCAACUCCACCAAUGGGAUGUAGAGGAAACUAAACAGAAACUCCACAAACUGUUUAUUUGCUUGAGCAUACGCAACCUUACCAGUAGAUUGUUGUAUCAUCACUUUCAACUUAAAUUCCUCGAGUUGUUUGGAUUCUCUUCCUCUGUAGUGUGUGGUUGAGUCACCAUGAAUUUAGAGUAAAUCAGCUGUGUUGUUUUAUUUAGGAUGAUGUCCGACAAUGGAGUUGGG